AGAUUGAACUGAAGAGUUUGAUCCUGGCUCAGAUUGAACGCUGGCGGCAUGCCUUACACAUGCAAGUCGAACGGCAGCAUGAUCUAGCUUGCUAGAUUGAUGGCGAGUGGCGAACGGGUGAGUAAUACAUCGGAACGUGCCCUGUAGUGGGGGAUAACUAGUCGAAAGAUUAGCUAAUACCGCAUACGACCUGAGGGUGAAAGUGGGGGACCGCAAGGCCUCAUGCUAUAGGAGCGGCCGAUGUCUGAUUAGCUAGUUGGUG
rnacentral:rRNA from 1 species